GUCUCAUGGAUACGUGGUAUAGUG
rnacentral:snRNA from 1 species